UUGUAAUUCAGUAACUUUACUGCAAAAAGUGCGAUUUUAUUAAACUAUCAAACUAACUAGUUUGUAACUUUAAAAGUAAUCUUACAUGGCUAGGUGCCUAUUGGAAACCACUUGGUUUUUAAAUUUGAUUCCUUGUAAAAUAUAUUUACACGAUCUGUACAGCAUAAAUCAGUUCAAUGCAAUAGUUUAUAAUCAGGGCCGGCGAAAGGGGUAGGGGCAAUUUGGCCCGAGCCCCAAAAUCAAAACGAGCCCCCAAAGCAACGAAGAAGAUUGCUUAACUGAGAAUAUAAAUCCUAGCUGCGAUAGUGUCUGAUAAAAUGUGAUAUAUUGUAAAACACGCUUCUCCCCUUUUACAAUUAUGACCUCAUAGGGCCCUCCUUAGCCCGCUUCGGCCCUCCUUGGAAAGUUUUACCCCGGGUUCAGGGUUGAACCUCUCGGCUGCCAUGUUCAUAAUAAAUUGAAUAUGUACAUAUAUAAGAAUUACUGAGAAAGCUUACAUUGAUUACGACUAUAUCAUGAUCAAGGAAAAAUGGUACAUAUAAUACAGGAUUUUGGACACCUGACUCGAUACUAAAUGUUGAAGGGUUUUUGUAGAUGGAAAUCUCGAGUGUAAAUUUUAUACGUUUAUACACCAAACCAGGAGCAACUGCAAAAAAUGCAACUAUAUAGGCCCUCUGGCAGGAAUCGAACCUGCAGCCUGCGAUUCCGGUGCAGUACUCUAACCAAUUGAGCUACAGAAUCCACUUGUCGAGCUUUAACCACAAGUUCAUGUGUACAAUACAUACUAGGUGAUGACAGUGUGAGGUAUAUGGGUAAAUAUCAGGAUUUCAGGCAUCUCAGUCGAUAUUAAAUGUUGAAUGGUUUUUUGUAGAUAGAAAUCUCGAAAACCCUUCAACAUAUAUAGUGCAGGUUGUUUCAGAAAAGGUAAAACAAUUUCGGCAUGUUAUCGUGAGUUAUAGAUACUAAAUUUAUACAUUUAACUUUCGAACACUGAUAAAGAAAGGCUUUUAGCUGCCAAAUGACACCGUUGUUGUAUCGUUGCGAUGUAACAUGGUCAGGUACGAUCCGCGAUUUAAAGGGCUAGGUCGAAAAUGAAAUGCUUAUUACUUGCAUUAUAACCACAAUAACAAUAUAUACAUAAUUGAUUACCGAUCACUUGCUCACAUUUUCUUCGAGGCCUUUCAUUUCUCGACUCCAUACAGGAACUGCUGUACUAUUGAGGCUAACGACCAAUUCUAAUUUUUAGAAUUCCCGCAUG
rnacentral:lncRNA from 1 species